rnacentral:rRNA from 1 species
AUUGAACGCUGGCGGCAUGCCUUACACAUGCAAGUCGAACGGCAGCGGACCUUCGGGUGCCGGCGAGUGGCGAACGGGUGAGUAAUAUAUCGGAACGUACCUUUCAGUGGGGGAUAACGUAGCGAAAGUUACGCUAAUACCGCAUAUUCUGUGAGCAGGAAAGCAGGGGAUCGCAAGACCUUGCGCUGAUUGAGCGGCCGAUAUCAGAUUAGCUAGUUGGUGAGGUAAAGGCUCACCAAGGCGACGAUCUGUAGCGGGUCUGAGAGGAUGAUCCGCCACACUGGAACUGAGACACGGUCCAGACUCCUACGGGAGGCAGCAGUGGGGAAUUUUUGGACAAUGGGCGCAAGCCUGAUCCAGCCAUGCCGCGUGAGUGAAG